UUGGCGCAUCUGCCUUUAAAAUAAAAUAAAGGAAGUAUUCUCUUAAACCUCUCCUGCCUUGAGUCGUUCUGGGGAUUCUGCAUCUUGGGUCCUAAACUCCUGCUCUCACCGUGACACCUCUUUCCUAUUCUCUCUCUCUCUCUUUCUUUACAUUUUUAAUCACAAUUGUCAAUUUUUUUGCUCAUUUAAAAUAUAUUUUUAAUCAUUUUUUUAAUUAUUUUUUAUAUUUUUACUUUUUUUGUUUUUGUAAAGUGCCUCGUGAUUUUAUCUUGAGAGGCGCUAUAGAAAUGAUACUUUUUUCUUCUUUUUUGCAGGAUUGUUUCAAUUCAACCACAUAGAAGGGUUAUCAUGUAUGAGUCACCUGUUUGAAAGGAUAGGCAGUUUUGGCUUGCUUUUAGCACCCCCUAGUGUCCGUUGUUGCAACCAAAUGAGAAACUUAUCUUCUCACUUUGUCUAUUUAACAACUGCUAAACUAUCUUCUCAGUCUUCAUUAGUUUUUACAGGAGCGAUUUAUCACUAAAUCAUCAAAUCCGCUGUGUUCCUUAUCUAAAACAUGCUGGAAAUGUGCUGGAAGCAGACUCCAGUGCCAGGAAAGUCAGCUACACUUUACUGGGUCCAACAGGCACCGGACCGGAAACUCUGAAGUUGCAAGUGUGGUAUUCUGCCACAGAGAGCAGUUGGGUCUGGGUGACAGUUCAUUAACCUGUAAAAGGGUAUUUUAACACAUACUGGCUCAAGAAUUUUUUUAAGUUGCAUAGUAUGCCUUUAAAGGGACUUUACGGAGUUUAGAAUUUUUUAUGCUCGCGAUUGCCCCCUCAGGUCAAAAGCGUAAUGGCAGCUUCAAUAGUAGGCUCGUGCACGAGGCGCGCAUGCUGUAUGUGCACACUCCUUAAUGAAAAUAACAGCUGAGACAGUCCCGUGUGUGUGUGUGUGGCCCGGAGGACAGAGGACAGGAGAACACGCAGCUAAUUAAUUAAAUAAUGUGGUUCUGUACCUUUCUCUUCAGCACAGCUGACAAAUGUUUAAGACGGGUCAGUCCUCCUGCAUGCUCUUGAAAAAUUGUUCCAAAAUGACAGUUGAACCCACGUCUUUUUUUAUCUGUGAAUGAAAUGCCGUUCAGCGAGUCUCAAAUAAAAAUGUGGGCAUCUUACUGUAAAAAAAUAUACCAUUAAUGUAAAAAAGAAACUCUAAAUAAACUAUGUUCACAUCCAGAAUCGAACCCCGGGUCUCCUGCAUGAGAGUCAGAUGUCUAAAUAAGUGAGCUAAAGUGCAAUUGAUGUCUUUUGCAUCCAUAACAUUUAUAGCCUUGCUAAUAGCUGAAACAACGUUCAAAGAACGGUUUGGAGCAAAAAUGGCUAUUUUGUUGCUAAUUUGCAGGAAAUAUCUCGAAGAAAGUUAUACAGAAAGUAGCUAAGAGUCCUCAGAAAUGUAGCUAGCUUUGUUACUAGAAGUUAGGAACAGCGACAAAGUGGAACUGCCUCUCUCUCUGCUGCUAAAGCUACGGAUAGAUACGGGCUAUAUGCCUGAGCGUGAACGCGCAUGAAGCAGCCUGCUCGACCCGAGCAGCUCUCUUUUUCUGUGAUUUUACAGAAAAACAGGCAAUCACAGUAAAAAUGCCAGGGCUCAUUCUACAGGACCAGGGCAUUGCAGGAGAAUGUAUGAAGAAGAAAUUUAUUAUUUCUAUACAUGUUUUGGCUGUCAAACUUCCAUAAUGCCCCUUUAAGGUCAAUGGUUGGAAUUCUCUAGGAAAUUCUGCAAGAAAGUAGAAUUUAUGGUUCCAUCAAUUAGAGCAAGUGGUCCAACUCCUGAAGUUGCAAAUCACCCUCAGGCUAUCACACUCCCACUGCCAUGUUUGACUGCUGGUCUUAGUUUUACACCAGAUGUUAACUCAUUUACUGCAGUUGAUGACAAAAGUCUUCAUUUUAAAUUCAACCACUCGCUGCCAUAAAGUCAUCAAUGGGCGUGCGUUGUCACGAGCCCCCGUACCGGGCGAAUAAACAAUACGUCUGUAAAGCUCAUCUUCAUCCAAGUAGAUCGCACGUCAUGUGAUCAGGAGGCAGAACAUCCAUGAAUUAGGAGAUCAUUUUGGGACGCUUCUGUGAAAAAAGUCAGUCCCACAUCCAGGGCCGUAUCAAGGCAUUUGGGGACCAAGGCAAAUAUGGACUUGGAGCUCCCACCACCUCACUCCCUGCUCAGUUAAUAUAAGAUGGCAGCGUGCUGAGAGUACAGAUUGUUGUUGCUUUUAUUUAAUAAACAGUCAUUUUAAAGCACUGUUAUUAUAUCUGACUGUUUUUAACAGCAACCCUAGCUCAGAUACCACAUCACUUUCCACAUAUAUGUCAUGAGCUCACUGAGGGUCAGAUUACCAGAUUCAUAUUGAAGUUGUUUUGGUGAAAGUAACUUAGAGUAAUGCAAAAGUAGUGUAAUGCCUUACAAUUUAAAAUCAGUAAUAUUAUAAUGUAAUGAAUUACUUUAAAAUGAGGGUAACAAGUAAUAAAUAAUGCAUUACACUUUUGAAGUAACUUGCCCAACACUGGAAACUGUCAAGAAUUAAACUGCUGAAAUCGCUCUAUGUGAGACAGAUUUUGUCCAAAAAACUUCACACAAACAUGUUUUGUAUCACAAUAAAACUAUUAUAACUAUAAAAAAGUCAUAAUAUAACUCAUUUAAAUCUUCAGGGCUCUAAUUUCCCUCUGGGAUUAAUAAAUUAUCUUUGAAUUAGAAUUUGAAUUGAACUACAUUUUAAUAAUACUGUACAUGUGAAUUAGCAUAUGAAAUAAUGUAAUAAUGUGAAAUCUAAUUUUUAUGAUAAUAAAACUGCUAAUGCAAAGAAAAUGAUUGACUGUUUUAAAUAACUUUCUUUUCUUUAGCAUAACUGGCAUAAGCAUGACAUUUUUAACUCCGGUCAGUCAGAUGAUCAUGAUCAUGGAAAUAGAUGUUCUUAACUUUGCUAUCCCCAUCCAUAUGUCAGUGACAAACACAUGCCCAGAAAAUGCCUUUGAAACAGGCUCUAAGAGCUGGCACGCUCUCGUGGAGAACAGGAUGUAUGAGCACAAAACAACCAGAUGAUGACACCGUGGGAGAUGGGAAAGAAGCGAGAGUUGGUCAGUCUACCAUCAUUUAUUCAUCAAUGAUUAUUUAAAAGAGCUGUUGCAAUCACAAGGAGAAUUUUAAAUUUCAUUAAACGACUGAUUUAUGACAUUCAAGCUGAUGAAUUCACAAGCUCGUCUCAAAAUAGGAAAACAUGCAUAUUCCCCAAAACAAGCAGCUUCAUCUUUAACCGAAACACGGGCGCCCAGCGAAAAAUGCUUUAAAAAAAUCAUCGACCUGUGAGAAAAAGGUGACCGCUAAUCUAUUGUUAAACGCUUUUGUGGAAAAAGUUGAAGAACAUUAAAAGAAAAAAACAAAGAAGGUACUGAACCUGGUAUCUGCCAAUAAUAGAUGACCACCUCUCAGAUGGAAGGAACAGACUUGGCCAAAAUCUAAUCUGCAUUGUGAGAGAUUUGAUUUUAUGUCCAAAGGGGUCUAUUUUCACCUACAUACUGACCACCAUAUAACCUUUCUUCUACAGAAAUAAAUCAACUUUCUAUUUGGCCUUCUAAACCCAGAAGGUUCUGCUCAGCACUUGUUUACAUUCCACUGUAGCUUCCAUCAAUGGCCAGUUUAGGCACUGUUUGACCUUUCAGCAUCUAUUCAACAUCUGGUCAGAAAGGAGACACAGCAUUGCAUACAUAGGCGUCAUUUUAACCGGGGACGCCGGGGACAUGUCCCCGGCAAAAUUUGUGAUUGGCAGCUGUGUCCCCCCCCACUUUCAAAAAAGCCUGCUGAUGAGGAUUUUUGUUUUACCAGCUCAGAUCUUAUACCAGGGGUCGGCAACCUGUUCCCAUCAAAGAGCCAUUAUUACCCGUUUCCCACAGUAAAGAAAACACCGCAGCAGCCGCGGCGUUGUGGGCGAGGCCUACCCUCAGACAGCAGAGGGCUGCUCACAACCAGGUGACAGCAGCAGGUACCGGUCGCUCGCAUGGGCAUCGCACCCGUGGGGGAUUCAACACCCACACUUUUCCAGCUGUUUUGCUCACCUCCACACCAGUCUGGUUUCUAUAGGUCGCACUCACUCCGUUUGCCUCAUCUCCUUCUUCACCUCCCGCUUCUGACAGCCGAUGUCGGGUUUCCAGGAGAGCAGGAGAGGAAGGGACGGAAGAGCUCGACUGAAUUCAUAAUUUUACAUCUUGACAUUAGCUGUACAAAGUCUGAGUUUGAUAAAGUGAAGAACAACAAUUUGCAGAGGUUUAUAAUAGGCGCGGCGCCAGGUUUCCAUUUUUGGGUGGGCCACGGUAAUUUUGGACGGACCUUAAUAAGCAGUGACUUAGUGAAGCAGGCAGGUCGCGCUAGAAAAUUUCGUUUAAAAAUACGUCAUGAAUGUUUUACCCUGUCAUUUUUAUUUCUAAAAUAUGAAGUAAAAACUCCCAAUUUAAUUUUCAUUCAUUUGUCAUUAAUAUGUAGUCUACACCCGUGCGUUAAGUGGACCAUCUUCCAGUAAAAGCAAAGCAUCCAGUCCACCUCUCCAAAUGCGUAAAAUGUGCACCACAGCCGUUAGGCGCGCCACAUGCACCGUCAGCUACAUCAGCCCAGAGAAGAGCAGAGCAAAUAGAAUAGAGGAUAAUUCUGUCUGGAUGUGGAUGGAGAUUACAUUUUACAGCAGCCUGAUCAUCAUUUAAAUAAAACCAUCACCUGUCUUCUAGUCCAUGCUAUCAGCAUUAUUUUAAUUGGUGUGUGUGUGUGUGUGUGUGUGUGUGUGUGUGUGUGUGUGUGUGUGUGUGUGUGUGUGUGUGUGUGUGUGUGUGUGUGUGUGUGUGUGUGUGUGUGUGUGUGUUUUCCACUUCAAACACUGGUCUAACCAACCAGACCAGCGUGUCCAGUAACAUAUUAAUGUUACAAUUAAACAGUUUCACUUCAUGUAGGCUAGGAACGUUUCACCUGCCGUGGCCCGACCGCUUCUGCUCCACAUAAACUUUGUGCGUGAUCAAAUGUCUCUACAGGUGCUUUCUGAGCUGAAGAGGCUAUUCUGCCUCAGACUGGAUGCGUCAUGCGUCUCCAUAUUAGAGACGGGAAAAAGCGCUGUUCAGCCAAAGUUUCAUAAUUUCAUAAAAAGAACAUUUUUCCAAGCUCAUCCAUGCGCAUCAGUGUGCGUCGGGGUAAUUCUGUCAUGGUCUGUGCUGAGCUAACACCUGUUUGAGUUUCUCUGUGUGCAGGUGGGUGUGUCCGGAGAGCAGCUGUUGUUGAUCUCCUCAUCAGUGGUCAGGGAAUUUAAGGAGUGUUGGGACAACACAUCAGCGCUGGAUGAUUACUCAGUAUUGGGUAGUAUUCUCGCCAGAACCUUGCCUGUCUUGUAUUUCCUGUUUACCUCGCUUCGAUCAAGUUAAUCUGCCCUGUUACCUUUGACCUCCUCAGGUACCUUCCAUUCAUCUGCCAACUUCCACCACCAAGCAAGAAACUCACCGGAUCAUCCUGCUCACCAGCCCGUCACUCGCCCCUGACCGCCUGCUCUCCAACCCCCACCUGCCAUCAGUACAACCUGGACUCCGGUGCUCAGCUCCCAGCCAUUUCCUCUGCCUCUCGCCCGACCAACUCAGCCAGCCCUGACGUGCCCUCCUCUCAAAACUCUCUCUAACUAACUGGAAACCAACUUCAUCAGAACCUCCCGAAUCCCAUUCAACAUCUGCAUCACUCAUCCAACUUUAAUAAAUAAUUUUACUCACCUUC